ACAUUUUCCUUCCACCCUCUUCUUCUGAUUUCUUGUGGAAAAAAAUGCAUGGGCUCUUCUUUGUCCUGGUGAUGUGCACAGUAGGUGCAUCUGCUUUCAGACUCCAGCAAGUCAAGAACACAGAAAACUGCCCAGAUCACACCGUGUUUUUCAAACACUACUAUGAACUGCAUGGAGAACCUGUGGUUCUGAAAUGCCCUUCCCCCAGAUACAAACAUUUGGAUUUCUCUGCCUUGACCCCUAAUAUCACAUGGUAUAAAAAUGGUUCGAACACCAUGAUAUCAGAAAGAGAUGAAGAUUCAAGAAUCUGGGCAAAAGGAAAUGCACUCUGGUUUUUACCAGUGAGGCUAGAAGACUCAGGAGUAUAUAUCUGCACAAGAAGGAACAACUCCUACUGUGCUGAGGUCUCCAUCCACCUCACAGUUGUGGAGAAAACAGCUGCUUGGGAGAUUGCCUAUCCCCAGGUCCUCUUCACUUUCACCGCUGGAAAGAUUGUUUGUCCUGACCUGUGGGAUUUUACACCAAAUAGGACAAGCCUGGAGCUCAAGUGGUACAAGGAUGCUCAGCCUUUGGAAGAGGACAAUGAAAGAUUCAUCAUUCUGAAUGGUUCAGCAUCUCUGAUCAUGACAUCUGUGCUACCAACAGACGCGGGGUAUUACACCUGCAAGAUGUCAUUUCCAUUUGAAGGUGUGAUGUAUGAAAUCACCAGGACAAUUCAACUGGAGACUGUUGAACAAGAGAAGAGAAUUACCCCGAUAAUUGUGUAUCCAGCCCAAAAGACAACAUCAGCUGCUCUUGGCUCCAAGAUGACUCUCCCAUGCAAAGUGUUUGUUGGGCUGAGCAGCCAUUUCCAAACUGAUGUGGAAUGGCUGGCAAAUGACAGCAGCGUUGACGUGGUUUAUAAACAAAGCAGAGUUACGGAGGGGGAACGACAAGAAAGUGUAGAAAAUGGUGAAAACUUCAUUGAAGUACCACUGAUUUUUGAUUCUGUUGAAGAAGUGGACUUUUACACAGACUUUACCUGUCUGGCCCAGAACAGAUAUGGAUACCAAGAACUGCCAACAAGGGUCAAGCAGGAAGAUCUCUGAGGUUAACAGCUGGGACAGAUAGCAAAGGCCAUGGGGAGGUCCAGGGAGGAAUGUACUGGGCACAGAAUCUUCUGGAAGGCCAGGAGACCUCCUCUGACUGGGACACAGCCUGCUAAUCAUGCUCCUUCCCUUCCCCUCUGGAUGCAUUUGAAUAUCGGAUAAACAGCUUCACCUGGUCAGCACAAAAGCUGAAACUCACGAAACUGAAAUCAGGAGGAUGCGAAGUUCAGUCAUCACCUGGUGGCAUAAGGGAGGCCAUAAGGAGGCUGGGAGCAUUCAGAGCUCAGAACUGCUGCUCCUGUUUUCUCCAAGGAUGGAAGAGAUGCUUCCUUGCACUACCCAGCUCUGCAAAGAGUGGCCGCUCUUUUACCUGGAGAGGCCACUCUAGGUGUGUGGAUGGAACUGGUCAUUACAGUAAGUCAAACAUGUUAAUACAUUUUAAAGAAGCAUUGAAAAAGCACAGCUGCUUUGUCCAUUUGAAUUCACUUUCAAGCUCUAUGUUUAGUACUCAUGAGAGGUUUAUAUUACCAGCUUAAUAGCUUACACUACCAUCAGCUCAAACUACAAGUGUGACUCCAGUUAAAUGCUAGACCCUGGUCCAGGUUUUUGUCUCUUCUUACAUCAUACUCUGGUCAAGUUAACAGCCUCUCAGACAGUUUAGUACCAGUUUUAGGGGAUGCCUCAAAGGAGGAAUCUUUGAUGUGACCAGCACAUUCUCUUAAACUGAUUAUAUUGCUCAAUCUCACAGGCAUUGACCUUCACUAUUUCAGUGUGCUCACUUUGAGCAGGACAAACAUCAAGGCUGCCUUGAGCAGUGGUGAAUGAGGUGGGUCUGAAUUCAUUACAUUGAAUUAAUUCCAUUCAGUAUUGCCAAAAAUAAAAAAACAGCAAAAGUUGAUUAAAUAAAAUCAGCAAAAGUGGAUUUCAUAAAAACAGUAAAAGAAAGCAAUUAUAUGGCAUGAAAGAAAGCAGCUAGUUGACUGGAGGUUAUGAGGUUACUGUCACAAGAUUUCUUUGCAAAAGUAUAGAUGAGAAGCCCCCAAAAAUCCACAACAAUGAUGAUCUCUUUUGAUUGCUUUGAAUCCUAUAAAUAAGGUUAGGACUCCUCAAACAAUAUUCACUCCCACUUGGUCCUCGUGAUUAUUUAACAACAUUUUCAUAAUUCAUGUAGACAUAUAAUAACAUCCUGGCCCCCAAAUCCAGAGAGUUCAGUUGAAAUGAAUGAAAAUGGAAAGAGUGACACAUUUCUCUCUCCAGCUGCACUAGUAAAACAGUGGUUAACCUCUGAGUCAAAGCUGUGGCUGCUGUUCAUGCUGCUCCACCUCCUCACCACAGCAGCAUGGUGAACACUGAAUGAUGGAUUUGAACAACGAUUCCAGUUCAAAUAUUUGUCUCAAACACGUUCUCUAAACUUUUGAUUGCUCUCUUGCAGGAAAUAAUGAAGAAACCUUUCUCGACUUGCAAGCAAGCCUUACUAUACUUUGUAAUAAUAUUUCACUUCACUUUUUUAAAUCUUGCUUUUAGAUGUGGUCUCAGAAAUCUGACUCACCCUCCUUUCUUCCUACUAAUACAAACUCUCUUCUUGCCAUUCACUCAGCAUGAUAACACUAAAAUUUUGAGAAGGCUGUCUCUGACAGUCUGUGUAGGUCCUGUUCAACUUUUUCUCUAUAUUAGUCUGACUGGUCUGAUAAGCUUUGAAGGUCUAAGACAAAGGUUGAGACAGUAAUACUUCCUAUAAAAUUAAAAUUAUCAAAAUACAAGGAGGUUUAUCUCAGAUCAGGGGGUUUGGAACACACUGCAUUGUCUCCCUUGGGAGAACAUAGCAAGAGUCCUCAUUUAUUGUUAUUACCAAGGCUGUCCUCCCAUAUAAAUCUCUUGGUAAUAUAAUUUAAUUUUACAUGUAUUCCAUGCCCUUUAGGGCAAAAGUGUACAUCACAGAUGUUUGUGCCCUGCUUUGCAUAAUGGGACAAGACAUGACUGAGAUGCAAUAUUAUAAAAAGGACGAUUAUAAGUAAUACAUAUAAUGGUUUUGCUCAGUUAAAAAGGCAAGAGACAGAAAGGUCUAUAAUUAAGGGAUCCCAGCACUUGAAUUUCUACAGUAUUAAUUUAAGCUCUGCACUUUGCAGCAGGAAGGUCUGGGUGCUUCAGAGGAAGCUGUUUCUUUGGCAGGAUGCUCGAAAGCAGGAAGAUUUCAACCUUCCUAUACUAUCACCCUCUGUUUUGCCUUGACAUCUCAAGAAAGAAAGACUUCAGCUCCUGUGGAGACAAGUCAAAUUAUUUAAAUGAUUUUCAUCUAUUUUCACUAUGAAACAUUUUAAUCCAGGCUGCACAUGGGAGAUAUGUUCACUUUUGUUUCUAAAGCUUGUACAAUAUUGGAACCCUGUACUUUACUUGGGUCAUGAAGUAACUUGAUACACCGGGAAGAAGUGUAGAAAAUAGUUGAAUAUAAAAUAUGUUCUUAAGUUUAAUCUUAAUUAAACAUUACACUAGUUAGUUGUUUUAGUUUUGUCUAGACCCAGCUCAGGCUGGUAUGUUAAUUCCUGAUAAGACACGGCCUAGACUCCUCAGUGUUUGAGAAGACAUAGCUUCGCACAGUUCUCCUGGCUUGCAGAGCAAGGCUGAAUUCAGCCUGGCCCACCUGUUGGUGAUCCAAAGUAGUUCUUGCCCAGUGAGAGUGGGGUAUUAUUCACACACACACCUUGCACCUUUUGCCUUUGUGAACUUCUCUCUCUCCUCCACUUCACUGCCAGCAGAAUGGAAGUUCUGACCAUUGAGGCACCUGAGUGCAGGCCCCACAAAGACAACCCAGCAAACACACAAACAAAGAAAGGUUAGCGAGAGCUCCAAGACAUUCCUGAUAAACUCAGACCCUGACAAACUCAGUCCAAACUUCCUUGAUGGGGAGCAGUCAGCAGAACAAAGAAUGCCUAAUGGGUACAGAACAAAGGAACUGACCUUCCAUGAAAAUAGGAGUUAGUAACAACUGUUGUAGGACCUGAUGUCCUACACACAGAUACGCCAUAAAGGUAUAAAAAGUAACUUGCUGCCUACCCAAAAUGAACUUCUCUGCAAGUCUUAUUCUGCAUUUGAUUUCCCAGACUGGGGAUGCACAUGGAUGAUCUUUGAAGUAAAACAACUUCUCUCUUGUCAAUUAGAAACCAAUCUUCACAGUGGUUUGGUGACCUUCAUACUGGUAGCACCUUGCGUAAUAUAUUUACAGGCAUGCACACAGGUAAAAGUUUGUGAGUAUGUACUUGUUUUACUCGUUGGAAUUCUGCAAUAGCUUCUAAUAUAACUAUAUUUGCUUUACUCUUGUAAUAUAAAUACUUGUUUUCAUAGUAAUUCUGUAGUGACUUCUAGCAUAUUUGUUUUUACUACUAUUAGUAAAAGUUUUGUUGUGAUUUGUAACCCAGAAAUUCACAGAACCCCUGACUUCUGUGCCCUUGUUCACUGCUGAAUCCUGAGAAGAAUGCCACAGUCACCAUCUUUACACACCCAUGAGUCAGGUAACCCCCACAGGCAGGAAUUGUUGCAAUGCCCAUCUCUGCAGGUACUCACACUGAAUCUAGAGAAAAGAUAGAGGACAAAAAGAGUCAUGGAAAUCCAGAGAAGAAAAAUAUUCAAAUUCAAACAAUUUCAAAAUGAACUUCAUGUAUUUUGGAAUGUAGCAGCUUACUGUGCCAUCUGCAUCUGUAUUUACUGUGAGUGGAGACCUAAGUUUGAUUACCAAAAUCCAGGCAAAAUAUUAUCCAUGCCAAGUAACUCAAUAAACAGAGCAGCAAUAUUUUAUUGUAACUUUAAUCUCACAAGUCAGUUGCUAACACAAUUAAUCAAGGAUCAUGGGAAAAAAUGUGACUAGCAGGACAAAAGCAUACACACAAGGUUCUCUACUCCCAUAGCAAGACAGUCCCUGAGUGACUGCCAAAAGGAAAAAUGAAGAAAUUUUAAUGAAAGUGAGCAGAAAAGCUCCUGAGGGUCUUGAAAAUAACAGUAUUGGAGUUUGUUUGAACAUUCUUAAAUUUUUCCUUUUUCUUGCUCCCCCCAAAAGCCAAUUUAUAGCUGUGUUUUAUAGCAAUGAAAAUACACAUAGGGAAUGUCUCCAAAGGAGAAAACAUAAUAUUAGUGCCAGCUGGGAUUGCUUAACACCACUGUCAGCAUUUGCCAACUCAUUUUUAAAAGUUGCACUCACAGAAAACCAGUUCAUGAAUUGCUUCUGUAUUCCACAUUAUUGUUUGCUUUCCUUUGGCUGAGGAGAAUUGCCAGGUCUCCAGGCAAUGGAAAGUUUCCUAGGAGAACAAAAAAGGCUCUCACAAGUUCUUCUGGAAGCAAGAAAAAAUUGCUAUCUCAAACCAUAACGCAACACACAAGGGAAAUUGUUUUCCUUCUCUUCUGUAACCUGACCCAAUAAAAUGAAUUAUCAUAAAAAAUUAUUAAAAUAAAUCCAUAGAAUUUGAGUUCCUGUGAGCUGUUUAGGAAAGUCUGAGGUCUGGGUUCAUCUUCCCCAGCAUACAGAUUCAGAGUACAGACACAUUUCUAUGGCUGAGAUAAUUUUGAAGCAGACAGAGAGGAGCAGUUCUCUGAACUGUUCCCCACAAUUCUUGCUGGCCACGGAUGGAUUGUCUGAUGAGAUGAACUCAAAGUGCUUAAGCCAGGCUUUGUGAAAGUCUGAGAGACCUGGGAGCUGCGAGGUCUGAAGAGCUUGCCCUGAAAAGAAGGGAGGAAUGUGACAUGUGCAUCUGGGGAAUUGGAAGAAGGAAGAUCUUAGGAUAAGUGUGGCAGGGGGCAGGGGCACUCUUGACAGAAGGAAAGCUGGAGACUGUUUUAUUCCCUGCUAAGGCCUGUAGGACAAGAGAAGGAUGUAGGAGAAGCUGUUGUGCUGAAAGGAGUUGGUCUCCUUUGGGUAAGACAAGAGAAUUGCAAAUUACUCUUAUGAAGUUUGAGCUAAUGUUAGUGUUUGAAGGACAUUUAAGGAAAAGGGAAGAAGCAAAACCAUCUGGUAGUGUUUUUGUUGUGAAUGCUGCUGAUCACUAAAAGCCUACUGAGAAAACCAUUGUUUCUUAUCAAUAUCUUACAAUUAAUUACAGAGAUGCCACAGGUAAGGUUUCUUGGUUUAAAUGCAGGAAUGGAAGUUAAAAUCUGCCUCAUAGGCUUUAAAUAUUUCCAUUUUAAAGGCUGAUCAAUCUUAAUUAGGUCUAAUAUAGUGGCACUGAGAAAAAAACUAUGUCAUGACACAGCCACAACAGUUUUCAGUUUAAAGUGAUUUGAUUUUGCACAUCUUCCACAUGUACUGCUAAUUAGAUCACUGCAAACAAAUUUCUACUUCUUAUUUCUGAUCAGACUCUUUCUAUUGUCCUUCCUGUUUGUCUGUGGCUCCUAUUUUUGCACCCUAGGUUUAUGGUAGUUUUGGUACAGAGUGGUUGCUAAGACAAAUUGCUGCACCAAAAAAGGCAUUUUAAACUUUACAAAAUAUAGUCAGAGAAUCCUAGAAUGUUUUGAGUUGGAAGGGACCUUAAAGAUCAUGUACUAAAGAAUAGUGGAUAAGUGUUAUUAAUAGAGAAAUAAAAAACUAGGAAGAAUAAUUUAUUAUUGAGUGAAUGAGCAUGUUGUAGUUCCAGCUGUGUUUAGCAUUCCAAAUUGCUUAGGCUUUUCCUAAGACUUCCUUGCAAUUAGUUUAACAUCAGAGGCCUAUUUAGCUUGUGCACAAAGCUUCUGAUGACUAAUCAAUUAAAAAUGACUAACAGUGGCUAUGCUAUUUAUUUUUACAACACUUUAGCAAAAAACAAGGCAUCUGCAAGAGCACAGUGGAAAUGCCAGCACAAACUCCCAAACACAUAUCCAGCACACAAAAAACCUGACUUCUUAAAAAAUAUUAAUCAAACUAUUUUGCCCAGUCUCUGGAAACAUUUGAGGCAACACUUAGCACAGUGAUUCAUGUUCAGCCUUAGAAAGACAGCAGACUACUCUCCCGAGGCAAAGGGUUUAUGGUCCAGUCAUGGGAAAUCAAUUGAUCUAGAUAAUGAAUUCUUUUAUCACACGCAUUACCUUCCUAACAGCUUCUACUUUGAUUUUCUUGCCUUUUAGUUGAAAGGAAUGUGAAAGCUCAGGCAAAAGUAGCUUUGAAUUUGGUUUCCUUUGUCUCAUACAGUUCUGAGUUUUUGCAGUGGUAGAAGAAAGCUGCAGUACAAUAAUUUCUACAUACUUCUAAGAAAGUAACCCUUCCUAGAAUGGAAUCACCAACACACCCUAGUGUCUGCUGAGAUAAGAGUUUUAUUUUUCAAAGCUCAAAAGUUACUGCUUUUAAAUAUUCUUUCUGUUUCAGCUACCAUAUUUCAGAGUCUUCUGUAAUUGUGGAUGUCCUUUUUGUGCUCUUCUAAAAAUUUAAAUAUGAACAGUCUUUUAUGGCUUUCCUUGGGCCAUUUUGUUUCUCCAGUUUACUUGUUGCUUUUGUUCAUGUAAUGACAGGACAAGGGGAUCAGGCUCACACUGAAAGAAAGUAUGUUUAGAUUAGAUAUUAGGAAAAAUUCUUAAAAAAUUAGGAAAAAUUCUUUACUGUUGCCCAGGGAAUCUGAGGAUGUUCCAUCCCUUGAAGUGCUCAAGGCCAGGCUGGAUGGAGGUAUGGGGAACCUGGUCUAGUGGAAAGUGUUCCUGCCCAUGGCAUUGAUGUUGGAACUACAUGAUCUUUAAGAUCCCUUUCAAUCCUCACCAUUGCUUCACUCAACCGUGAUUCUAUGAAUUUUAGUGGUACUCUAGCAAGAUACUGGGUAAUCUGAUGAGAGACAUGCAGCAACUGUACAGUUUGUCCGGAGUUUAUUGUGUACUGUACCUUUCUGGCUGGGUGAGAAGGCUAAAUCUUGAAGUCCUCUGCUCACAGUUUUGGGUUUCUUUUCUGCAUGUUGGUUCUUACUGUACAACAUUUAAGAGUAAUUUCUGAGCACACAUGGUACAAACUAAUGAGCACAUUGUGAAAGCAGAAGUUAGAGAGCUGCUCCAUGAUAACACCAGACUGACUUAGACAGACUUGGUUGUUAAGAGAUGCGGACAUUUUAAACUCACUAUGUGUGUGUAUAUAUACACUUAUACACGAGGGAUAAACCACAGCAUUCAUCUAACAGACCUCACUGCAAAUUAAUUACAGCCUGUUUAGUUGCACUUCUGCUGACUCCAAGAGCUCUAACCCACAAAACAGGAUAAGAUCUUGAGGUGGAUGUGUUGGGCAGAGAUACGAACUUGUGAAACUUGAUUUUCAUUUCAAUGACUCAACUACUGGCUAGUGAAGGCAUUACUUGCUUUGGCUCUGAUGAGUUUUGUUAGUGCGAAAACCUGCCUCCACCUCAAGGAAGUUUUAAGGAGAAUCUUGAAGCCGUUCCAGGAUCUGCCUUGAGAACAGCUUUGGUUCACACCAGAACUAUUCAGGUAAUGUCAGUAAUACAAGGAUGGCUGAUUUACUGAAGCAGUAAUGUGGUAAAACUUUGGGUCUAUUUAGUCACAGUGGAAAUGAACAAAGCUAUAGAGCUCCUGUGUUCUGAAGGCAAAAACUAAAAUUUCUCCACAAUUUUCUCAGAAGUCAUGGAAAAGAGUCACAGAAUGGACAGAAGAGACACAUUCUGUAAAGAAAUCCACAGUGAGCUUAGGUGGCGCAGGAGAAAGGAGCUGCUAGCAUGCAUUCCUGCCUAGGUGUGGCAGUGACAGUCACAUAACUGCCAAGACCUCCCCUGCAUCUGCUUUAGCAGCAGUUGCACUUGAAAGGAUGUUAAAAAGUUAUUAUGAUGUGGAACUGGUGGAAGAUUUUCUAGCUUUUUUAAAAAAGAAAAAUUAACCUUGAUUUUUUUAUUUUAAACCAGAUUCCAAUUGCAAAAGCUGUCUCUUGAGAGAACUGGUAUGUUCAUGCUUUUCACUUAAAAUGUCAGUUUAAGACCUACUGCUCUAUCCAGUAUGAAUUUGCUGUAAGUGCAGAUGGAUGCACCUGAUCAAAUAUGAACUCUCUCUUUUGUGUGGAAAUUUGUUUGUUUGCUAAACAAACAAAUCUCAAUACAUGAGAAUCUGUUUUAGGUUACUGCCAUGUGUCCAAAAAUAGGUCUGAUGUGCCCGUGCAGGAGUAAUGCUAAAAGCACUGUUAUGAGUGUCUCUCCUUAUGCUUCUGUUGCUACCUUGCCCUCUCUAAGAAGACAGAGCUUUGUUCAAGAGAGCAUUGAUGGAUGGGAUUUACUGGGAUAUGUAGCCAGUUUUGAUUUGGACUUUAAACUUGGAUAAUAAGCAAAUCAAGCACCCCCAGAUUAAGAUUUUCCAGAAUGAGGACCUUGGUGGCCACGACUUCUAUUGUUGUGGUAAAGUAGGUGUGUUCAGACUGUAGGAGACUCAGAACUGGUUUGUGUUUCCAAUGAUUUGUAGCUUUUGGUGAUACAGCAAGUUGUAGCAAGAUUUAACUAAGUAUAAAUAGUCUUUCUGACAUAAAUUUGUGUUUCUUACUUGCUUUCCACAUUAACUAGAAGUCAAAAGAGCCCCAUGGAGGACUUUGGUGGAAUUACCAAACAGUCUUUGAAUUAACUCCUGUGACAGAGUUACUGCUUACAACAUCAGUGAUUGAUGUGUUGGGAGAGGAGCUGCACCUUUCAGGGCCAGCUGGAACAUCUUACUGUGUUGUUCUGAAGUUCACCCUGGACAGUUUCUCCUGCAUGUUGAGUGGCACAAACCUCUGUCUGGCCUCUUGGUGCUGACUGAUUUCUCAGCAAUGAAGUCUUGAUGGAAGAACAGGCAUUGAGACGUCAGAUGCCUUCAGCUGGAUGCAAUGACACAUUUUUUCCCAAUUAUAUGUGAACAUGUACAUAUGUUCAGUACACAGUACACUCAGACAACUGAUGCAGCACUUGAGGCAACAGGUUGGGUUGUCAAACUACUGAGGAAAACAGCUCUACAGUGGAAGAAGAGCUGUUUUUGCAAAAUUACUGCUUUCUGACUGGAAUCUUACUAAUGUUUCACGAUUGAUUCAUUCACAUAAUUCUUAAAAAAGUCUAGGAAAGAUCCUCUGCUCUGUGAAAAAUGCAUACUUUGCUCCUGAAUCACAAUUUGGCAGUACUGAUUGUUACGGGUGUUCUUUCAGAAGUGUACUUUCAGUUUGUAGUGAUUAGUUUCUCUAAAAUGAGUGCCAGAGAGUACUUUGGGGAGUUACUUUAAAAGUGUGGUCAUGACCCAUAUCAGAAUAUAGAUAUAGUGAUGUGUGCCACAUUCUACAAAUAACCAUUUUAUCUAGUAUUUAUCAAAUAUUCCAGACACCCACUAUGUAAGUUGUUACACUUCCUUGAGACUAAUGGGUUUCUGGCAGGCUCCCUAUUCUCUUGCUACAUGGUGGAGAGCUUUCCUGCAGCUUAAUUUGCAGCACUGCUGUUAUGGUGGAGAGCUUUCCUGCAGCUUAAUUUGCAGCACUGCUGUUAUCCUCUAGUAAGAUAUUGUAAAGAAACAUAUUGGGCAGAUAAACACUUAGAAAAAUAUUUGUUUUUAAAUUUCUAUGGCCUAUGAACUUUCCCUGAUAGAGUCAGUCAUCUUAACAUCAAAACCAGUGAAGGCAAAAGCAGAUUAAAAAGUAUUUUGUGCAGCUAAAAUAGAGUUUGCAAAGGCUUACAAACACAUGGGAAUAUGAACAGAAGUUUACUCCUUUAGCUCAUAAAAGGUUUUCUCCCCAUUUAUAUUAUCAGGGUAGCUGGUAAACAUUUCACAGCUUUCCUUCCUGAGAGCUCCAUUGCUCAAGCCAGCCCUUCAUCCUGAUACUGAAAACAGGGAAGAAGCCAUAUGAGAAUCCUUUCUUUCCUCAGUGUUGAAACCAAGAGGGAAGAAAGCUAACCCAUCUACUGCAAAAAAGUCCAAGCUUUCCACUUGGAAAAGAGUAAUGAUUCUGUGACUCUGGAUCACAGCUCUUGUUUACCAUUUAAGAAGUUAAAACAUGCCUUCCCACAUUUUUUCAAACUCAUAAUCAAGUGGAAAGUCCUUUCACACUCAUUUGGAAAUUGUUCAAACCUCAAGUUGAAGCUUCUUGUUACAUUGCAUUUUUAUUACUCCUGUUAAAAUGUAUGUUUACUUCAACUAGAAUGUAAAUAAAGUUAAUGAAUGUGGAUCUUGAACAAAAGCAGAUACAGGGAUAAGCAAUCACUGAAUACCCUACUGUAUUGAGGAGUGAAUAAAAGCAAGCUUGUGGGAACCAAAAUGCAGGAGAUGAAGGCAAGCACAAGGGGAAAAGGUUCUGAAAACUAUGGACAAGGAAACAAUUCCAGGGAAACUUCACCCUGGAAAAUUCAAUUUCUGCUUGAAUAAGUUUAGCUUUAACACCAGACUAAACAGUGAGAACUGUAUAGAGUUUCUACACAAACCUGAAGGAAGAAACUAUUGUUCGAACCAAAAAAGUGAUAUCCUGGCACAGUGGAAGAAAUAGCUGAUCAGACCAGAAAAAAAGUAAACACUUAGAAUCAUAGAAUCAAAGAACGGUUUGGCUUAGAAGGAAUCUUAAAGAUCACCUGUUUCCAGGUGCAGCUUACAUGGUAAAGUGCAAAUAGAGCUCUGCUCUAAAAAGAGAAGGUGAGCAACUUCAGGUGAUGGAACAGAGGAAUGGUGGCAGCAGACACUCACAUUGCCUGUUCUGGUGAGUACCAGACAGAUGUGAGAGUGCCUGGCCUCACUUCAUGAGUGGGGUGAUGGAUUGCCAGGGACUGGUAUCUCUUGUGUGACAGUUUCCCAGAGCAGGCAUGAUAGAGCCUGGCAUGCCCUGGGUGCAAUGGGGUGCACAGGUACAAUCUGUUUCAUUGAAUGCAUGAAAUGCCUCCGUUUCCACCAGGCUGCCGAACGGGCAUCAGUUCUGCUGUGCAGCAAAGCCGGGCGCUUUCUUUCCAAGGUCAGCCCAGGUAAGGUUUGCCAUGAGCCCCGAGGGCAGCCUGGGCGAAAACAACGCUGAAGUCAGCUCGCCAGCCCAGGGGAUCACAGCCUGAAGGGGAGCUAAACCCAGGAGUGACGGCCAAAGGAAGCGGGCUGAUGCCCGAGAAAACGGGCUUAGCCAAGCUGCGGGGAGAUGCCUCGCAGGAGGCCACACAGGAGGCUGCCGUGACGACCAGCUCGCCCUGUACCAGGUGCCGCACGCCCUCGGGACUCGGCAGGGCUCCGCAGGGCUGGCCGGCUCCCGGCCGCCAUUCACCGCCUGUGACCCUUUCCGCCGAGCCCGGCCGGGCCGGGCCGGGAA